UGGUACCACCACCUGAUAUGGAGGAAGAAGUUGGUGGGAAGCUUACACAUGCACGCAUCUCUUCUCCUCCCACUGUCAACGGGGGAGGAGCAGUGACUACGACGGGGAAAUCCUUCGCUCAAAGCAGACAAGGAAAGCCAGGUGGCGGUGCCGCGGAGAUGAAGUGGUGGUGCACCAGCAAGAGGACAGGUGGACAGGCCCAGACGCGGCAAGUUCCGCGUCCGGCGAGACAUGUGUCUGGGGACAUGUCCCAAUCUAUACUAACCAACAAGAAAAGCCCAAAUCAUUGUGAAGUUAGGUCCCACUGUUUUCGUCCUCUUAUGACCAAGCAUCGAAGGGGAGAGAUGAGAAGAGAAGAGAAGAGAAGAGGAGCCAAAAUAUGAAACGAGAAAAGAGAAGAAGGUGAAUGAGACAGCUACACGAAGACGAUGGGACAGAAGCAAAGACGGGGGCUUCGUCUACAAGCGCCGCCGCAGGCGGAGCAGGAUCGGCCGGCAGCCAGCGGACCCAGAGGCGGAACUGAGGCGCUGCCUCCAUGACCUGAGAGAUCGGUACCGGCGAGAGCUGGCGCAGUGGGACCGCCUCUCGCCCGACUUGCUCUACCCCAUCGCCGCCGCCGCCGCCGGGGGUGGAUACCCAGCGGGCAGUCGUCGACGACGUGGAAAGAAACCAGGGUUCGGUAGGGCUUUAACAAAAACAGGGUUUACGUGUUGCAGGUGGAAGCGCAAGAGGCGGUCAUCGGAAAGCUAGCGAAGGCGCGCGCGUACGUGGGAGUCGUUGUGCAGGGAGAAAGAAGGGAGCUAGGUCUCUUGCGGCUUCGUUAUCAGAUGGACUGAUACGAGAACAGGAUCAAAAUUUACAUGGCCACAAAGGAGUUGUAUCUCCAUUUUAAGAUUAUAUAAUCCAAAGCAGAUUGGUGGCUUCAUCACCAUCUCUUCGAUAUGUAUGCCUUCUCAGCGUCGGCCAUCCGAUCUUGGAACAUUUUCCACUCUUUUCUACACCGAUCCUGUACCUGCCGGAUGUGACGGUGACACAGGUUUCUUAGCAUC